rnacentral:rRNA from 1 species
CAGUCGCCGCGGUAAUGCGUAGGUGGCAAGCGUUGUCCGGAAUUAUUGGGCGUAAAGGGCUCGCAGGCGGUUUCUUAAGUCUGAUGUGAAAGCCCCCGGCUCAACCGGGGAGGGUCAUUGGAAACUGGGAAACUUGAGUGCAGAAGAGGAGAGUGGAAUUCCUCGUGUAGCGGUGAAAUGCGUAGAGAUGUGGAGGAACACCAGUGGCGAAGGCGACUCUCUGGUCUGUAACUGACGCUGAGGAGCGAAAGCGGGGGGAGCGAACAGGAUUAGAUACCCGCGUAGUCCCUGUCUCUUAUAA